rnacentral:lncRNA from 1 species
UGAUGGAAAUUAGUACUUCACACAAAUCAGAAAUUUUAGCAUGGAUGUUGUGUGUUAGGUAUCUAGAAGAAACAUAAAAUCCCACUUUGAAAAAAACACAUCUGAAAAGCUGCUCCAUGCAAAGCUUGUAAAAGUGUCCUUAUGCUGCAAGUUGUGGCGUUCCAGGAAAUAUGUGAAGUUUGUCUGCACAUUUCAUCUUCUGAAAUGCCCAUUAGUCAGAUGAACUGCUUUGUGCAUAAGCGAGGGGAAGUUCAAAUAAAGGUAUAUUUGGGAAAAAAAGGGAAGACUUCUGCUUCUGACAUAUAUAUCUUUCCAAGGUUUCAAUCUCAAAUAUCUAUAUCCAGACAUCACAUGAUACAUGCAGCCUUCUUUAAAUGGAUUUAAUCUGCUCCAUGUAAAGACAAGUCUUUCUGUGUGUGAAUGAUGGGACAUUGAAGAAGAACAUGAUUGUGGGUAAAUAAGCUCAAAACAUCAUGGAAGCUGUGACCAGGUACUGUUUGCUUUUACCUCUGUUUAAUUUCUACAAAAGUGUUCUGACAGCAAACCUUUUAUGAGCUUGGGGUGUGAGCAGAAAAAAUGGGUAAGUCUUGUACUGCUUGCCUAUUAAUUAUUGGCCACAAAUAUACUGAGAGUGUUCUUAUAAUGGAAUUUCAAAAUGAAUCUAGAACUUUAUUCCUCCCGCUGUAACUCCUUUCUAGGAUGGUCUGAAGAGGAUUUUUGGUUUUUUCUUUUGUUUCUUUCUUAUUGUUAGUCACAGUCACUUUGGUAUAUAGAUGUGUGCUAAUUAUCCUCUAUCAGUCCAUUUAAAUAAUUUACUGUGUAAGAGUCUCAAAGGACUCUCUGGGUGGCAGGUUUGA